AGAGUUUGAUCAUGGCUCAGGAUGAACGCUAGCGGCAGGCUUAACACAUGCAAGUCGAGGGGUAGAGGUUGCUUGCAACCUUGAGACCGGCGCACGGGUGCGUAACGCGUAUGCAACCUACCUUUUACAGAGGGAUAGCCCAGAGAAAUUUGGAUUAAUACCUCAUAGUAUAUAUCUUUCGCAUGUUAGGUAUAUUAAAGUUCCAACGGUAAAAGAUGGGCAUGCGUCCUAUUAGCUAGAUGGUAAGGUAACGGCUUACCAUGGCUACGAUAGGUAGGGGUCCUGAGAGGGAGAUCCCCCACACUGGUACUGAGACACGGACCAGACUCCUACGGGAGGCAGCAGUGAGGAAUAUUGGACAAUGGGCGCAAGCCUGAUCCAGCCAUGCCGCGUGCAGGAAGAAGCAUCUAUGGUGUGUAAACUGCUUUUGUACAGGAAGAAACAUCCCGACGUGUCGGGACUUGACGGUACUGUAAGAAUAAGGAUCGGCUAACUCCGUGCCAGCAGCCGCGGUAAUACGGGGGAUCCAAGCGUUAUCCGGAAUCAUUGGGUUUAAAGGGUCCGUAGGCGGUUUGGUAAGUCAGUGGUGAAAGCCCGCAGCUCAACUGUGGAACGGCCAUUGAUACUGCCAGACUUGAAUUACAAGGAAGUAACUAGAAUAUGUAGUGUAGCGGUGAAAUGCUUAGAUAUUACAUGGAAUACCAAUUGCGAAGGCAGGUUACUACUUGUGGAUUGACGCUGAUGGACGAAAGCGUGGGGAGCGAACAGGAUUAGAUACCCUGGUAGUCCAA
rnacentral:rRNA from 1 species